AACACUCACCAAUGAAGAAGAACACUUACCACAGAUGACAACCCACAAACGGCCGAUGCAGUGAAGUAGCAGCAGCAAAGAGACAAUCCACAGAUGACAACCCUUUUUUUAUUUUAAAGAG